rnacentral:lncRNA from 1 species
AGUAUAUAUAUAUAGGUAAGUAAUAUUAUUGGUAUGAGUGUUGAUGUUAUCACAAGAUAUCCUACAGUAUGAUCUAUUGUUUCACCAUACCAUAGAUGAUCACCAAACAUUAAAGAACAAUAAGCAUAAGAAUAACAUAUCAUUCCCAACACUCUCACAUUACACCAACUCAUAAAGAAUGAUAUAAGAACGGCAUCAACCAAUGAAUGCAGGAUACACCCGUAAUGAGAUCACCGCGGGGUCUAAUGACCAAUCAGAGAGGUGAUAAUGACGUUACUAAUGAACUGGACUCAGGUCACGACCCCACACCGUUAUCUGCCGCGGACCAUUGACCCACUCACCACUGAUCACCGUUAGACACCAACCUCAGCAAUGGAAUCGUUAAGUGUUAUUGUUGUUUUGGUUUUGAGCGUUGUACUUUCACACUCGCUAGACAUUCCUAAACGAUGCGUGAUUCGUCAUCGGAAUUUCAUGCAGUGCUUCGGCACCGGAUCCCGCAACCUGGUGGGUGGAUACCAUCCUGCGGUUGUGCGUGUGCAGGGUCAAGGGUGGGAUUCCCCAUUCAUGAUCGACGGUCGAGCCUACCCCGGGUUGAGGUAUGUCGAGCUCGCAAAUUCUCACAUCACUUGCGAAGACAUCGUGAGACCACCAUUCAUCACGAUCAACAUCCUACACAGAGAUGUGUGUCAAUCGGUGAGUGUUUAUGAUUACUAACACACCUCGAUGUUUAUGAUUCGAUCUUGUCUUAAUAGUGGGUACAUAAUAUAAGAUAAUAUUAAUUAUUCACAGACAACGGACUUACCCUCAGCUCCGCAGAGGAAGACCACUUCACCAUCUUCAUCCCUCCAUUCAACACCCACAGACUCCACCUCAACCACUCAAAUCGCCGUUGAUUCUUCCCACACUCCAUCUGACUCACACCAAAGGCAAACUGAAGACACCACUGAUAAAAAACACACCCACACCACCACUAUCAACGACCGGCUCUCAUCCACCACCGAGGCACUCAUCGACGGAAUCGAGUCGUGGGUGCCGCCGGUUGUGGGGGUGCUGGGAUUUGGUUGGAUCAUCAUCGGUGUGUACUGUGCGUGGGUGUGUCGACACCGUUCCAAGUGUUGUUGGAGUAGACGAAGUUGUUGUCGUCGUAACACCACAAAUAAUCCGUACGAUAUCGAAAUUGAUAUUUUUGAAGUGAGUGGGGCCACGGGGUGCAACCCUGACUCUAUACCGGUGAUCGAACAUCACCAUGCUGAAUAGCUAUCACCACCACUGAUGUGUGUUUGUGUGUAAUCAUCACUAUAUACUUCUUCCAGCCCUGUUCGUUUAUCUGGAGGACACGGUUCUGUGGAUUGUCAUGGGGUUUAUGCUCUUCGCGAGGGAGAGAAUAACCCGUUUCGUGCUGGACGGGUUCAUUCUACGCUUCCAUCCACGCAGACAUCAACAACAACCUCAACAGCCUCAGCAACAGCAUCAACCUCAACAACAGCAACAACCUCAACAACAGCAGCAACCUCAACAACAGCAACAACCUCAACAGCAACAGCAGCAACCUCAACAGCAACCACAACUCCAAGAACCCCAACCCCCUCAACUCCGAGAACGUCAUCAUCAGCUCCAUCAUCAAGCACCCCCUCAACAACGACAACAUCAACUCCCUCUUCAUCAACCUCAACAACAACCACAACGUUUGAGGCGAUCCACCAGGUGUAGGAGAGCCCCCCAACAGACUUACCUAUUGACAUUGUUUGUGAUGGUGUAUUCUUUGUAAAUGUGGAGAUGAUUGGUUUGUAAAAUGUGUGUGUGUGUGUGAUAAAUAAUCAUUGUGCA